GCGGGAAUGCUGGAAUUGGCAGACAGGCAUGACUAAGGAUCAUGUUCGCGUAGCGAGUGAGGGUUCAAGUCCCUUUUCCCGCA
rnacentral:tRNA from 2 species